rnacentral:rRNA from 1 species
UACGUAGGUGGCAAGCGUUGUCCGGAAUUAUUGGGCGUAAAGAGUGCGUAGGCGGUCUAUAAAGUCUGAUUUGAAAGCCCAUGGCUUAACCAUGGAGGGAGAUUGGAAACUGGUAGACUUGAGUACAGGAGAGGAAGGUGGAAUUCCACGUGUAGCGGUGAAAUGCGUAGAGAUGUGGAGGAACACCAGUGGCGAAGGCGGCCUUCUGGCCUGUGUCUGACGCUAAGGCACGAAAGCGUGGGUAGCAAAC